rnacentral:lncRNA from 1 species
UAUUAAAACUUUUGAGAGCCCAAGGGACCCCUGCUUUGCAACACGCAAUUCCAUUGCAGCUAUCAUCAUCUGUCUUGUUUCUUGGAUCACAAAUAGAGAAGCAACCACCAAGAAUGAAGUCAUGAUCAGCUGAUGACAUUGAGGCAAGGUUGUUGCAGCCGAUGCCGGAGAAUAUAUUGUCAUAAUAUGAGAAGUAAAAAGGGAGCUUCUCCAGGUUUACAAAACUUGGUUCUUUAGUUUUAUCCUGACAAGAUCUGAUCACUGAUUGAUUUACUCUCAUUGUGCUCUUUUCAAGUAAGAAUUCAAGCACUUCCAGGUUGAUGCUUCUCAGGAUUGGCUUACUGGAUUUGCAAUCUAUUGCAUAAAGUUGAUCAAAAUAGCAAUUUUCUCCAAUUCCGAAUGGAAAUGGAAUUGUAACAUUGUUUCCACAACUGUAUGGACAAUUUGGUUUUGUUAAAGGUGGUGGUGGUUCUUUAGCUACUGAUUUUAUUGGCCAUAGAAGCAGCAAUAUUAUAACUUGUAACAGCAACUGCAGAUUCAUUUUCAAUCUGCUGUCACGGUUGUUGCUACAAAGAGAAAAAGAGAGAGGGAGAGAUUUUAUCAGAGCAAAGCAGAGUAGUUUCUCUGCUGCUUCUUAGAUGCAGCAGUUCUUUAAUUUACAACCAAGUUGCGCAGAACAAAAAAAAAAAAAAAAACUUUUAUUAAUUUUAUUAAUUUUCUCAAAAUUAUCAUAUAAAAAUUAUAUUUAAUUAUUUAAUAAUAUUGACUUUUAUUUUACAGAUAUAACUUUCAUUUCAUAACAAUCAUGGCCUGAAUGCUAAAAUACCAAUGGGAACCUUAAUUGACAAAAACUAAGCCAGCUUUAAGGAUCCAAACCUGUCACAAACUGGCUCUAGUAUCAUUCAUAACAUUUUAUACCCAAAAUAUACUUAAAGAACCGAUGCCAUGGAGAAGAUUCCAAGCUCAGCUUAGUUAAGUUAGACUAUAAUUUAAUUAAGAAAUUUACCUAGACAUCCAUGGAGGAAAUAGGGAUUCCCAUGGUAUUUUUCCUUGCACGAACAUCCAAAAAGCCCACUUUCAUCAGGUCUACAAUGAGAUGUUGAUGUAAACUCUGGAGAUUUAUCCUUUUCUAACUUGCCAAAAGAUGAAUUGGGAAUCCUCCAAUCCAGUAUAACAGGUACUUGAUUCCAAUCUUGAACAGCUUCAGCACUCUUAAAAUUGCUUUCAAACCAUUCUUUUUCUACCAUAAAUGCAUAUUUGCAUUUCCCCUCCUCCUGGCUGCUGCUCCUGCUACUUGCUGCAUUAUUUAUAGAAAUAUUAAAACUUUUGAGAGCCCAAGGGACCCCUGCUUUGCAACACGCAAUUCCAUUGCAGCUAUCAUCAUCUGUCUUGUUUCUUGGAUCACAAAUAGAGAAGCAACCACCAAGAAUGAAGUCAUGAUCAGCUGAUGACAUUGAGGCAAGGUUGUUGCAGCCGAUGCCGGAGAAUAUAUUGUCAUAAUAUGAGAAGUAAAAAGGGAGCUUCUCCAGGUUUACAAAACUUGGUUCUUUAGUUUUAUCCUGACAAGAUCUGAUCACUGAUUGAUUUACUCUCAUUGUGCUCUUUUCAAGUAAGAAUUCAAGCACUUCCAGGUUGAUGCUUCUCAGGAUUGGCUUAUUGGAUCUGCAGUCUAUUGCAUAACGUUGAUCAAAGUAACAAUUUUCUCCAAUUCCGAAUGGAAAUGGAAUUGUAACAUUGUUUCCACAACUGUAUGGACAAUUUGGCUUCGUUAAAUGUGGU